AACGAACGCUGGCGGCAUGCCUAACACAUGCAAGUCGAACGAAACCUUCGGGUCUAUGGGCGCACGGGUGCGUAACGCGUGGGAACCUGCCCUUAGGUUCGGAAUAACUCCCCGAAAGGGGUGCUAAUACCGGAUAAUGUCUUCUGACCAAAGAUUUAUCGCCUUUGGAUGGGCCCUCGUUGGAUUAGCUAGUUGGUAGGGUAAAAGCAGACCAAGGCGACGAUCCAUAGCUGGUCUGAGAGGAUGAUCAGCCACACUGGGACUGAGACACGGCCCAGACUCCUACGGGAGGGAGGAGUGGGGAAUAGUGGACAAUGGGCGAAAGCAUGAUCCAGCAAUGCCGCGUGAGUGAUGAAGGCCUUAGGGUUGUAAAGCUCUUUUACCCGGGAUGAUAAUGACAGUACCGGGAGAAUAAGCCCCGGCUAACUACGUG
rnacentral:rRNA from 1 species